UGCCGGGUCGUCUAAUGGUAGGACAGAGGCCUUUGAAGCCUUUAAUCGGGGUUCGAAUCCCUGCCCGGCAG
rnacentral:tRNA from 1 species